UAUUUCCACUAUUUAGUUCUGCAGCUAUAUGAGUACUAGUACUAAUAAAAAAGAAAGAUAAUUUUGUUUCUUCUAUGGGUGAUACAGCUAAAGUCAGGAGAUUGUAUGACAUUGCAAAUGUGUUGUCUUCACUGAAGCUCAUUCCGAAGUCAGACACAAGUAUAAUAACGGCAGGGAAGCCGCCAUUCCAGUGGUUUGGCAUGGGGGAGAAACAAAUAGCAUAAAAUAUUUUGUGAAGCUGUUCCUCAUCAUGGAGAGCUCCUCCUCGGAGAAGGCUGACUCGAUGUGUGUUGUUCCUCCAACCACGGCACCGAGCAUAUCCUCGCCAUUAAGCUGGACAAGAACUCCAUGAAGGUCACCCUCGAGCUUGUCAUGCAGGAGGUGAGGAAGUACUUCAGGCCUUCAAAGCAAACUCGUGUGUUUGCUAGGUUUCUUGGUGUUUUUAGUAGAGUUCCUUGUUUUCUAUUUACUAUUUUGUGAUGCUAGCAGAUCAAAUGCGACAAAGUUCAUAGUUUAUGUUUUGGGACUUUGCUCUCCCUUCACUUGUCAUGCUACAGAGUACAUACUAACACAUUGCAUAGGUUCUUUUCAGUGGAGGAAGUUAUCUCACUUCCUAUAUUUAAAACUAAACAAAACCAUUGCUCAAGGUACCUGUGAACUCAAAUGUCAUACUAAUGCGUACAUUCUGGUUACCGUUAACCUAUUUUUUAGUUGUUUUUGUGACCUUGCUAUAGACCAAAAAAUUACAUAGUUUCACUUCAGUGAAGAAAGUUAAAAGGAAAAUUACAGUCUGUGCAUGAAAUUUAGAUGCAAACAUAAACUCAUCAGUAAGUGAAUUAUGUAUUUACUAAUGGAUGGCAGUGUUUGCAGUAUAGAGGGAACAUUUCAGGGAUUUGUGUGAUGGUUAUGAGAUUUGCAAAAGUUAGCUAGACUUGAAACUUUGUACUUCAAGGAGGAUGGAGGUCGAGCUAGAGGACUACCCAGGCUGUGGUGCCAACUGUCGGCACUUGCCUCAGUGUCAGAUGAGGAUGAACUGAACAUGGCACAAAGUUGCGUAGGGAAGGAGGGAAUGAAGAGAAUGGAGUUCAAUAGAAAUGAUAGUUUAAGGAAGUAGAUAUCAGGAAGCAUCAAUGUAAAGAAGUGUGUUCGAUCCAAUACAUGAUAGAACAUAUAGAUGUUUAUUUUAUUUAUUGAGGUUAUAGUUGACAAAUCAUCAUGAUUACAUUUUUAGUUUUGCCUUGCUUUGGUAGCGAGUAGUGAACAAUAUAUUGCCUUGCUUUGGUGAAUUGAAAAUGAGACACACACACGACCUUUUAGUUUUUGUCCUUUGUGUGUUCAUGAAGAAGAAGAUUUGUACCAUGCUUUAAUACGU